GGCUGGUCUGAAGGUGGUGAGUUAUCUCACUUGAUUGUUCACAGUGAGUUACAGAUUGAUCUCCUCAUUCUACUACUUUCCCUCCUUCUCACUACUGCACUUGACUAGUCUAAA
ensembl:misc_RNA Y_RNA Y RNA